AAGUCGUAACAAGGUUUCCGUAGGUGAACCUGCGGAAGGAUCAUUUCUGAACUAAGGUUUAGAUUUGAGGAAGGGAAAGUGGCUUUAUUGCUGCAAUCUUUUUUUUCAUUUCUUUUCCUUAUCAAAGAGAGUGUGUGGUAUAAAUGAAAAGGAAAAUUUUGAAAAUGGGGAAUUUGAAUUUUGGGGUUAAACUCGAUUUUCAAUUUUCCAACUUUCUGUUUCCUAAUCUACUUUUAUAAACCAAAACAAGUUACUUUUUGUUCAAAAACAAAACGUCUUUGGCUUCUUUUUUUUUUGAUUCGAUUUCUUUAAUUCAACAUUUAUUUGUUUUAUUAUUGAAAAAGAAAAAAAGAAAGAGUUGACAAAAACACAAAAAACGACAUACAACUGUCAACGGUGGAUCUCUUGGCUCGU
rnacentral:misc_RNA from 1 species